rnacentral:rRNA from 1 species
UGGGGAAUCUUGGACAAUGGGGGCAACCCUGAUCCAGCCAUGCCGCGUGAGUGAUGAAGGCCUUAGGGUCGUAAAGCUCUUUCGCCUGUGAAGAUAAUGACGGUAGCCGGAGAAGAAGCCCCGGCUAACUCCGUGCCAGCAGCCGCGGUAAUACGGAGGGGGUUAGCGUUGUUCGGAAUUACUGGGCGUAAAGCGCACGUAGGCGGACCAGAAAGUUGGGGGUGAAAUCCCGGGGGCUCAACCCCGGAACUGCCUCCAAAACUAUUGGUCUAGAGUUCGAGAGAGGUGAGUGGAAUUCCAAGUGUAGAGGUGAAAUUCGUAGAUAUUUGGAGGAACACCAGUGGCGAAGGCGGCUCACUGGCUCGAUACUGACGCUGAGGUGCGAAAGUGUGGGGAGCAAACAGGAUUAGAUACCCUGGGUAGUCCACACCGUAAAACGAUGAAUGCCAGUCGUCGGGUAGCAUGCUAUUCGGUGACACA